AUGGGACUUGUAACCGUCACUUCUGUCUUGAGUAGUUAAAAGAUAGAACAGUCUAGCCAAGUGCCAUGUCUCUUAUUCUUGAUCAGCUAUAGCUCUAGAGUUUUUGCAGAUUUUCAAAUAAAACUUAGAGAUUCCUUGUAUGACUCUCUCAGAUCUCUCUUUUGUGGUAUUUCUGGAUCCCUACCAAGGCAGUGAUGGUAUAUGCCUUCUCUCAAGAUAUGUAGUAUUUGUGGUAUAAAGCAUAGUGACAUUGUCUUCUCUCUCACCCUACUCUAAUAAGGCUUUAAUAUCUGGAGCUCAUAGGUGGGAGAUAAAAUAUACAUACUUACAAGACAUUUAUUGCAUAGUCAAACCAUGGAUCCAAAGAAACAAAUCAAUAAGCCAAAUCAAGAUGUGCAUGUGUGGCGAAUGAAUGGUGUAUGGUGAUGAUGACAAUGGUGAAAGUCUAAUUCUACUUUUGCUCUUUUGAGGGGAUACAUACCUUUCUUGCUUUUUGAAACUUUAUGAAGAGAAUGAGAUGCUCUUCUUUUUUUUCUUUUCUCUCAGGUGGGUAUCUUGUACCUCUAAUUCUACUGUCGGACACUUGUCCAUUUUUACCUCUCGUCUCACUUUUUCUAUUCUUUUGAGGUUCCGAGCACUUGCCCCUUUUUAUUUCCUCGUAUCUCUCUUUUUUUUAGAGCACUCAUCUCUUGAGAUAAUAUAGCAAGUGGUAGUAACAAGAUAACUUGAGCAUUUAUUUCACAGGGAAAAAUAGAACUAUUUUUGGCUAUUCUCUCCUGGAUUAGGAGUACAAUAUUUUUGGGUGGUUCUGGAGAUGGAAUGGGUGGAUAUAUGUGGAUGGUACUUCCGGAGUAGAAGCAACAUAUAUGAGUGAACGUGCAAGUGAAAUUUUGAUUUAACCACAUGACAAGCUCCUAAGGGUCUACACAGCUUGACCACAUUCAAUGCUCAUAAGCAGUAAAUAAUAAAUGUGUGGCUCAAAGUCUAGCAAGCAUGUAUAUAUGGCUGUGGUAGGAAUUUAAACUCUCAUCAUACAGGAACUCAUCAUGCAACAUUUUAAAGAUUUUCAAAGAUAAAAUUCUCCAGAAUUCUAGCAUCUCUAGGAACAGAUAAACAGCAGCCCAACCUUCCCAUAUCAUAUCCGUUAACAACUUAGACUUCAG
rnacentral:lncRNA from 1 species